UACGUAGGGUGCGAGCGUUGUUCGGAAUUACUGGGCGUAAAGAGCUCGUAGGUGGUUUGUCGCGUUGUUCGUGAAAACUCACAGCUCAACUGUGGGCGUGCGGGCGAUACGGGCAGACUAGAGUACUGCAGGGGAGACUGGAAUUCCUGGUGUAGCGGUGGAAUGCGCAGAUAUCAGGAGGAACACCGAUGGCGAAGGCAGUUCUCUGGGCCGUAACUGACGCUGAGGAGCGAAAGCGUGGGGAGCGAACAGG
rnacentral:rRNA from 1 species